ACUGAGUGGAGAGUUACAACGACAUAUACUCGGGAUUCCGGACGUGAACGGCUGUGGUCAUGUGAAUGGCAAGCUUACAAUUAUGGUUAACAAACUCGACGAAGCCGAUGAAAGAUACAUACAGUACCUGCUUAGAACGUAGAACUAUUUUCAUGGAUACACAAUACGCAAAAUAUAGUCAGUCGUGCAAGCCGGAUCAGAUAUCAGGAAUGGGCAUCACCUCCAAGUGCAGAGUUUUGGCAACCCAACUUGCUUUAGUUUGGGUUGUUUCGUCCAUCUCAAUUUUCGAGAUGGACUGGUAAUUGAUGACGUGUAUGCUAUAUCUUGUGGUCACUGUAUUUAAACAUGUGGGGAUGUGGUUGUAGCGAGCUAUCGUGGGGUAAUGCAUGACUUUGGCAAAGUAGAAAAUCUCUUGCUCCAUAAAAGUCAUUUUCUGGACGUCGUUGCUAUAAAAAUAUUAAAAACUCUGUUAAGAAAAUGCAAUUUUAACGUGAAACAACGUGACUAUAUUGAAACAGUGGCAACUUUAAAAUACUAUCAAAGGAAUAAUUACGACAGGUUAGAGGUGUACAAACAUGGCCAUGGAAGUGGCUUCACUACUGGCAUUGUUGUAAGCUCUGAUACUGUUAUAAAGACCAUUGGUGAACAAGAACAAGAUAAUUACAAUGCCAAUGACUUUAUGUGCCAGAUACUCGUGGAACCUAAAACUGACGAAACACAAGGUUCGCCGUUCUCCAAGCAGGGUGACAGCGGUUCCAUUAUUUGCGUGUACGGGCCCCCGACCGACAGUGUGGAAGUACUGGCGCUACUUUGUGGAACUUUUGUGGAUCGCGAAACGCAAGCGUAUAUAUGCACAUACGGAAGUCACUUUGUGACGCAUAUAAAAGAGUUUGAACGGCAUUUCAAUGUGAAUGUUAUAUUAGGUUAGAACAUAUGACAUACUUUACAACUAAAUAUGUCUGAAUAAAUUAAAAUACUUUUACGUUUCUAAAGAAAGUAGUAAGUUGUCUUUUAGAAUCUUCGUCUGAUGUGAUUAUAGUCAAGCUAUUUGAGUGCAACGC